GCGUUCUUCGGCGGCGGACGCUGGGAAGCGAGGACACCCAGCGCGCGGUCUGCUUCUGUUGGGUUCUUCGGCGGCGUCCGAGAGUGUUGGGUCUCCUUCUGUUGGGAAGCGAGAGGUUGAAGCUUUGGCCAUUAGGGUAAAACUAUUUCCGUGACAUUUGGGUUUUCUGGAAUGGCUCCCUUCGGGGACCAGAAAUUUAGCUCGUAGACAUUUCCGGACAGCUUCCUUUUUUUCAGGGGCCACGUUUCUCUCUUGCUCUCAAUAACAAAAUGGUAAGCUUCACGACAUACGUCAUUAUGUGUCCUUAAUACAUGUUCAUAAUUUUUUACAUUUUUGUCUAACCUUGCAACUUUUAGUAUAAACGUGGAGGUCACAUGCGUCGUGGUGAUGCUUCACAAAGAAGACCAGGCCUUUCCACUUCCUCGUCCUCGUCCUCGUCCCUUUCCAUUUCCCCUGCCCC